rnacentral:tRNA from 1 species
GCCUUGUUGGCUCAAUCGGUAGCGUUGUAUGGCUCUUAAUCAUAAGGUCUGGGGGUUCGAUCGUUACCCCUACAGGGCU